UACGGAGGGAGCUAGCGUUGUUCGGAAUUACUGGGCGUAAAGCGCGCGUAGGCGGCUUUGUAAGUUAGAGGUGAAAGCCCGGGGCUCAACCCCGGAACUGCCUUUAAGACUGCAUCGCUUGAAUCCGGGAGAGGUGAGUGGAAUUCCACGUGUAGCAGUGAAAUGCGUAGAGAUGUGGAGGAAUACCGAUGGCGAAGGCAGCCUCCUGGGCCAACACUGACGCUCAUGCACGAAAGCGUGGGGAGCAAACAGG
rnacentral:rRNA from 1 species